AGCAGCCGCGGUAAUUCCAGCUCCAAUAGCGUAUAUUAAAGUUGUUGCAGUUAAAAAGCUCGUAGUUGAAUUUCGGGAUUAAUUUACUGGUCGUGCUAUUGUACGUACUGGUUUUAUUGAUUCCUCCCUUCUGACGAACUAUGAUGUCAUUAAUUUGGUGUCUUGGGGAAUCAGGACUGUUACUUUGAAAAAUUAGAGUGUUUAAAGCAGGCUCACGCUUGAAUACAUUAGCAUGGAAUAACGGAAUAGGACGUUUGAUUCUAUUUUGUUGGUUUCUAGGAUCGACGUAAUGAUUAAUAGGGAUAGUUGGGGGCAUUAGUAUUCAAUUGUCAGAGGUGAAAUUCUUGGAUUUAUUGAAGACUAACUACUGCGAAAGCAUUUGCCAAGGAUGUUUUCAUUAAUCAAGAACGAAAGUUAGGGGAUCGAAGACGAUCAGAUACCGUCGUAGUCUUAACCAUAAACUAU
rnacentral:sRNA from 1 species